UACGGGGGGGGUAAGCGUUGUUCGGAAUUACUGGGCGUAAAGGGCUCGUAGGCGGCCAACUAAGUCGGACGUGAAAUCCCUCAGCUUAACUGGGGAACUGCGUCCGAUACUGGAUGGCUUGGAUUUGGGAGAGGGAUGCGGAAUUCCAGGUGUAGCGGUGAAAUGCGUAGAUAUCUGAAGGAACACCGGUGGCGAAGGCGGCAUCCUGGACCAAUAUUGACGCUGAGGAGCGAAAGCCAGGGGAGCAAACGGG
rnacentral:rRNA from 1 species